rnacentral:rRNA from 1 species
GAUGAACGCUGGCGGCGUGCCUAAUACAUGCAAGUCGAGCGAACGGACGAGAAGCUUGCUUCUCUGAUGUUAGCGGCGGACGGGUGAGUAACACGUGGAUAACCUACCUAUAAGACUGGGAUAACUUCGGGAAACCGGAGCUAAUACCGGAUGAUAUUUUGAACCGCAUGGUUCAAAAGUGAAAGACGGUCUUGCUGUCACUUAUAGAUGGAUCAGCGCUGCAUUAGCUAGUUGGUAAGGUAACGGCUUACCAAGGCAACGAUGCAUAGCCGACCUGAGAGGGUGAUCGGCCACACUGGAACUGAGACACGGUCCAGACUCCGACGGGGGGCAGCAGUAGGGAAUCUUCCGCAAUGGGCGAAAGCCUGACGUAGCAACGUCGCGUGAGUGAUGAAGGUCUUCGGAUCGUAAAGCGCUGUUAUUAGGGAAGAACAUAUGUGUAAGUAACUGUGAACAUCUUGACGGUACCUAAUCAGAAAGCCACGGCUAACUACGUG